AGCAGCCGCGGUAAUUCCAGCUCCAAUAGCGUAUAUUAAAGUUGUUGCAGUUAAAAAGCUCGUAGUUGAAUUUCGGGGUUAGUAGGUUGGUCAUGCCUCUGGUAUGUACUGGUCUCACUGAUUCCUCCUUCCUGAUGAACCUUAAUGCCAUUUAUUUGGUGUUUUGGGGAAUUUGGACUGUUACUUUGAAAAAAUUAGAGUGUUUAAAGCAAGCUAACGCUUGAAUACAUUAGCAUGGAAUAAUGAAAUAGGACGUUCGAUCCUAUUUUGUUGGUUUCUAGGAUUGACGUAAUGAUUAAUAGGGAUAGUUGGGGGCAUUAGUAUUCAAUUGUCAGAGGUGAAAUUCUUGGAUUUAUUGAAGACUAACUACUGCGAAAGCAUUUGCCAAGGAUGUUUUCAUUAAUCAAGAACGAAAGUUAGGGGAUCGAAGACGAUCAGAUACCGUCGUAGUCUUAACCAUAAACUAUGCCGACUAGGGAUCGGAUGAUGUAAUUUUUAAUGACUCAUUCGGCGCCUUACG
rnacentral:rRNA from 1 species